GGGAAAUGCCCCGAGGAUGGGUCUCACUCUCACGCGCGCACACAGACACACACGCAGAGAGCACUCUCACGCUGGGCAAACUCGGGAUCGCGCCACCCUGCCCGAGCUGAAUGAUAGUGUUUGGUUUCUGUCUCUUGCCAUGUGCAUGUGUAUAAAUGCUGCGGAUUGGCAUCUGUGUGCAUAGAUUGUUUGAACACUACCUUGGUACAUGCCUGCAGGCGUUUUAAGGUAAUUGCAUUUGUUGUAUCCUGGAUUGGAAGUAAGUAGGAGAAAGCAACACAGAAAGAUUGACUUUCCCAAUGUCAAAUAGCUGGUGGAGAACAGGCUCCAGGAGGGCUGCCAGCGUUGUCAGUGCCAGAAGCAAAGGAAGGGGGCUGGAACCCAGGAUAAUUAAGCCAGGAGGAUCUGUGACGUCCCUUCACAAACACAAACUGAGGGAACUGAAGGAGCUGAACUAGGAGAGGCUGCUGGGUUGGAAAAAAUGCCUCGUGGGCUGUGAAGAGCGGCAGUGUUUUUACCUGGGAGAGCCCCAGAAACUUGGGAAGAUUAGCCCUGAGCAAACAUCUGCCACCAAUCCUCCUACCUUUGCUGAGGAAGACUGGCCCUGAGCUAACAUCCGUGCCCAUCCUCCUCCACUCUAUGUGUGCGACGCCUGCCACAGCAUGGCUUGCCAAGCGGUGCCAUGUCCGCACGCGGGAUCCGAAGUGGCGGACCCUGGGCCUUCAAAGCGGAACGUGCGCACUCAAGCGCUGCACCACCAGCAUCCUUUGUGGACCUACUGACUUUGAACUUGCUUUGCCAAUGAAUUGUGAGCAGAUGAUCAACGUGCCAUGUCCCAGCAGAAAAUUACAAUGCCCUUGUGUGGUUUGGCUCCAUCCCUCAACUUCUGCCCUCCGCUAUGACUGUUGCAGGUGGCUGCUGCUUCAACCUGAGUCCCAGAAUAAGACACAUAGAGCCCAGACAAACUCAACACAAGCCCUCAUGUAAUGAGAGCAAGAAAUAAAUGUCUGCAGUUGCACUGAGAUUUGGCCAUUACUUGUUACUGUAGCAAAAGCCAGAGUGAUGAUUAUUCCGCCUACUUUUCAUUUCACCAUAAGCUAU
rnacentral:lncRNA from 1 species